rnacentral:rRNA from 1 species
AUACGUACUGCGCAAACGUUAUUCGGAAUCACUGGGCUUACAGGGUGCGUAGGCGGUUCGCCAGGUCAGAUGUGAAAUCCCACAGCUCAACUGUGGAGCUGCAUUUGAAACCUGCGAACUUGAGUAGACUAGAGGUACACGGAACUUCAGGUGGAGCGGUGAAAUGUGUUGAGAUCUGAAGGAACACCAGAGGCGAAAGCGGUGUACUGGAGUCUGUCUGACGCUGAGGCACGAAAGCUAGGGGAGCGAACGGGAUUAGAAACCCUAGUAGUCC